GACGAACGCUGGCGGCGUGCUUAACACAUGCAAGUCGAACGAAGUGGCGAACGGGUGAGUAACGCGUAAUCAACCUGCCCUUCAGAGGGGGACAACAGUUGGAAACGACUGCUAAUACCGCAUACUGAAGGAGGGGAUUGCGUCUGAUGAGCUAGUUGGAGGGGUAACGGCCCACCAGGGCGAUGAUCAGUAGCGGUUCUGAGAGGAGGACCGGCCACAUUGGGACUGAGACACGGCCCAGACUCCUACGGGAGGCAGCAGUGGGGAAUUUUCGGAAAGGGACGAAAGCCUAACCGAGCAACGCCGCGUGAGUGAAGAAGGUUUUCGGAUCGUAAAACUCUGUUGUUAGGAAAGCGGUAUCUAACCAGAAAGCCACGGCUAACUACGUGCCAGCAGCCGCGGUAAUAC
rnacentral:rRNA from 1 species